GGGGACGAACAAUUUCGAAAGGAAUAGCUAAUACCGAAUGACCGUAUCCUGGUCGCAAUGGACCUAGAUACCAAAGGCCGGGCAACCGGUCACUGAAGGAUGGGCCUGCGUCUGAUUAGCUAGGUUGGUGGGGUAACGGCCCACCAAGGCGACGAUCAGUAGCCGGUCUGAGAGGAUGAACGGCCACAUUGGGACUGAGACACGGCCCAAACUCCUACGGGAGGCAGCAGUGGGAAUCUUCCGCAAUGGGCGCAAGCCUGACGGAGCAACGCCGCGUGAGUGAAAGAAGGUUUUCGGAUCGUAAAGCUCUGUUGUCAGGGACGAGAGACUUGAUCAGGAAAUGGGUCAAGGAGGACGGUACCUGGCGAGAAAGCCACGGCUAACUACGUGCCAGCAGCGGC
rnacentral:rRNA from 1 species